ACGCUCCUACAGGCUAAGCGACAAACUUUAGUCCACACUUACACUAGGUAGCCGUGUCGGGGGUGUUCUAAGGAACAUUUUUCUCUAAGGGUUCAUGGUCAUCCGUUCAACCCUGAGCUUGCGCAAAGCCGAAACAUCCGGCGACGCCGGAAUUCUUCAAAAUCUCAGUUUUAACGGUCAACGCAUACUGCGAAACUAUAAUUUCAUCGUGUGAAUGAAUGGAAAACACGACGCCAAACGUCAACUCACUAACCAGUGAGGAAGGCAAAAAGGAAACAACAGUUCGUGGGCUAUUUCACUGGCCCGCCAGAAAAUUCGGCGCAGGCUGAGACCUGACGAGCUGACCACGCCAGAGUGAGUAAGGGAGGAAGGCGACCAGUCCAGCGUGGGAUAGCAUCACCAGCAAGAAAGGCCAUCUGGUCCCACGAUCCCCGAGAACGCCCUUUGCGACGUUCUCGGGAAGCAAACCGGCUGUAGCCAGGACUACCGUGUAGGAACGACAACCUAAAUCUCACCGGAAGAACCACAAUGAAGGACCGCGAAUUGGAAUCUACGACAGCUGAUGGGUCCGAUCACAGUUGCUGGUAUGCUGGCCACUCUCUUAUCUUGAUCACAAUGUCUUACAUGAUGUACAAGAUGGCCACCAACAUAUCCGUGCGGCAUAUGGAUCGUUAAGAAGGACUUCCAGGACGAGGAUCGUUAAACGAUGAUGGAGGUGAUCGUGUCGCCGAUCAAUAUUAUCGCGUCAAAAACUUAAUAAAAGUAACGGAUGUAGUUUUUA